GAAUAGGAUGUCCAAUAUCAUUCUGAGCGUGCCUGUGUCAGACAGUAUUUCUUCUCGCACAACAGAAAAAGAUAUGAAAAGCACGAUGACUUAGUUGUCGUUUCAGCGACAGACUGCUAAGCUGACACGUCAUUACCCUGGAAGAAGACGCAUACCAUUCAGAAGGUGAAAUUCUCAGAUUACCCAAGAGAUAUUCCUUCCUGGAAAGGGAAAUAGGACAGAGAUACAUAGCUAUUUUUCAGUCCCUUCAUUUACAUGGAAUUAUUUCAAUUUCAGCAGAAGAAGAUGAAAUCCUGCUCCAGGGUGCAACUGUCUCCCCGAGGAGUGCACAGCCACCCUGUUAGAUGUGCUGGCUGGCAAGCAUCUGGAAGAUUUGCAGGACAUUAA
rnacentral:lncRNA from 1 species